rnacentral:rRNA from 1 species
AGCUGGCUGGUCCCAUGAGGUGACUUCUGCCCAGUGCUCUGAUUGUCAAUGCGAAGAGAUUCAGCCAAGCGCGGGUAAACGGCGGGAGUAACUAUGACUCUCUUAAGGUAGCCAAAUGCCUCGUCAACCAAUUAUUGACGCGCAUGAAUGGAUCAACGAGAUUCCUGCUGUCCCUAGUUGCUGUCUGGUGAACCAACAGCCAAGGGAACGGGCUUGGAUGUGUCAGCGGGGAAAGAAGACCCUGUUGAGUUUGACUCUAGUUUGAUGCUGUGCAGCGACAUGUUGGGUGUAGCACAGGUGGGAGGCAAGUGCCUUGGACAGAACUGUGAAGUUGGCUCUUCCUAGCUCUGCACUUGUGCAGUAAGCUGUGGAAUCAGGGAUAACUGGAGAAACAGCAAAAAAAGGCCAGUGGCCUUCAGAGAGAGAGUGGUGCAAGUCAGCAGUGAAAUACCACUACCUUCACCGUCACUUUACUCAUUGAGUUGCCUGGGAACAGCGGCCCUUGAUAUGGGCCUCCUCAAGCCUGGGGGGGCCCUGGCCAAUCACUGCUUCGUGCGCAAAGUGUGGUUUGCCCACAUGACCCUGGAGCUGCAUUCCAAUCAGAAGCCUCAAGACAUCGAUCAGUUGGGGAGUUUGGCUGGGGCGGCACGCCUGUUACAAGACAACGCAGGCGUCCUGAAGCAAUGCUCAGAUGGAACAGAAAUCUCCCAUGGAGGAGAAGGCCAAAGGUGCUGCUGAUGGCGUGACUCUCAGUACGAGUCCAGAAUGUGAAAGCAUGGCCUUACGAUCCUUUGGUUAAGUGCACGAGUUUGGGAUAUUGAAGCCAGAGGUGUCAGAAAAAUUACCACAGGGAUAACUGGCUUGUGGCAGCCAAGCGUUCAAAGCGACGUUGCUUUUUGAUCCUUCGAUGUCGGCUCUUCCUAGCUUGCCACCCGCAGCCGAGUGCAAGAGUUGGAUUGUUCACCCACCAACAGGGAACGUGA